rnacentral:rRNA from 15 species
GUAACGCGUAGGAAUCUACCUAGUAGAGGGGGACAACAUGUGGAAACGCAUGCUAAUACCGCAUACGCCCUAAGGGGGAAAGGAGGGGACUUUUCGGAGCCUUCCGCUAUUAGAUGAGCCUGCGUAAGAUUAGCUAGUUGGUAGGGUAAAGGCCUACCAAGGCGACGAUCUUUAACUGGUCUGAGAGGAUGGCCAGUCACACUGGGACUGAGACACGGCCC